CGGGUUUCGCGAUCUGCGAACA
rnacentral:miRNA from 1 species